AGAGUUUGAUCCUGGCUCAGAACGAACGCUGGCGGCAGGCUUAACACAUGCAAGUUGAACGGGAUUUGUAUGGUGCUUGCACCAUGUAAUGAGAGUAGCGCACUGGUGAGUAACACGUGGGAACAUACCUUGAAGUGGGGGACAACAGUUGGAAACGACUGCUAAUACCGCAUAAUCCCUGAGGGGGAAAGAUUUAUCGCUUUAAGAUUGGCCCGCGGAAGAUUAGGUAGUUGGUGGGGUAAAGGCCUACCAAGCCGACGAUCUAUAGCUGGUCUGAGAGGACGAACAGCCACAUUGGAACUGAGACACGGUCCAGACUCCUACGGGAGGCAGCAGUGAGGAAUAUUGGGCAAUGGAGGAAACUCUGACCCAGCCAUGCCGCGUGAGUGAAGAAGGUUUUCGAAUUGUAAAGCUCUUUCGGAUGGGACGAUGAUGACGGUACCAUCUAAAGAAGCCCCGGCAAACUUCGUGCCAGCAGCCGCGGUAAUACGAAGGGGGCAAGCGUUGUUCGGAAUUACUGGGCGUAAAGGGUGUGUAGGCGGAUUUGUAAGAUAGUGGUGAAAUACCUGAGCUCAACUUAGGAAUUGCCAUUAUAACUAUAGAUCUGGAGUGACAGAGAGGAUAUUGGAAUACCCAGUGUAGAGGUGAAAUUCGUAGAUAUUGGGUAGAACACCAGUGGCGAAGGCGAGUAUCUGGCUGUCAACUGACGCUGAGGCACGAAAGCAUGGGGAUCAAACAGGAUUAGAUACCCUGGUAGUCCAUGCUGUAAACGAUGAAUGCUAGUUGUCGGCGUAAGCCGGUGACGCAGUUAACGCGAUAAGCAUUCCGCCUGGGGAGUACGGUCGCAAGAUUAAAACUCAAAGGAAUUGACGGGGACCCGCACAAGCGG
rnacentral:rRNA from 1 species